GGGGGAAAAUUAAUAAAAUAUAAAUAAUAAAAAAAUUUUUAAUAUUGGGGGGUAUUAAAGUAUUUUUUUAAAAAAAAAUAAAUUAUUUUAUAGUUAAUUAGUAUCGAGGGAGAAAUUUGAAAUAGGUGAAAUAAAUUAAUGAAAAAGUAGUUUUAAUUUAAUGUAUCUUGUGUAUCAGAGUUUAUUAAAAAAUAUUUUUUAUAAAAAAAAAUCUCGAAUUUAAAAGAGUUAAUUAGUUAUAAAAGUUAAUGUAGAAAAAUUAUUUUAAAUAAUUAAUUUGAAAUGAAAUGUUAAUCGUUUUUAAAUAUAUCUAGUUAUUUUAGAAAAAAAUUUAAUUUAAAAUUUAAAAAAUUUUAUUAUUAAUUAUUUAAUUAAUAAUAAAAUAUUUAAAAUUAAAUAUAUUAUGGGAUAAGCUUUAGUAUAAAAAAUUAUAAUAAAUUAAAAUAAAAUAUGAAAAUUUUAAAAUUUAUAUUGUUUAAAAAUUAUAAUUUAUUAUAAAAAAUUUCAUAAAUAAUAAAAUUUAAUAUAAAAUUUAAUUUUAUAUAAAAUAAUAGUUUAAAAUAAAAUAAAAUUAAAAAUAAUGAUAAAAUUAGUAUAUUAAAUUAAAAAUAUAAUUUAAUUAAUUAAAAUUAAAAUUAAAGGAAUUCGGCAAAAUUUUAUAUUCACUUGUUUAUCAAAAACAUGUCUUUUAGAAGUUAAUUUAAAGUCUAAUCUGCCCACUGAUAAAAUAUUAAAGGGCUGCAGUAUAUUGACUGUACAAAGGUAGCAUAAUCAAUAGUCUUUUAAUUGAAGACUUGUAUGAAAGAUUUGAUGAAAUAUAAACUGUCUCUAAUUUAUAAAUAAAAUUUAAUUUUUUAGUUAAAAAGCUAAAAUAAAUUUAAAAGACGAGAAGACCCUAUAGAGUUUUAUAUUAUUUUUAUUUAAGGUUAUAUUUAUAAAUAAAAAUUGAAAAUAAUAAUAAUAUUUUAUUGGGGUGAUAAAAAAAUUUAUUUAACUUUUUAUAAUUAAUUACCAUAAAUAAGUGAAUAACUGAUCCAUUUUUAAUGAUUAAAAGAAAAAAUUACCUUAGGGAUAACAGCGUAAUAUUUUUUUCUAGUACGAAUAGAAAAAAAAGUUUGCGACCUCGAUGUUGGAUUAAGAUAAAAUUUAAAUGCAAAAGUUUAAAAUUUUGAUCUGUUCGAUCAUUAAAAUCUUACAUGAUCUGAGUUCAAACCGGUGUGAGCCAGGUUGGUUUCUAUCUUUAGAAUAAUGGAAUAUUUUAGUACGAAAGGAUCAGAUAUUUUUAAUAAUUAAAAUUUAUUGAAUAUUAUUAAUUUAAUUUUAA
rnacentral:rRNA from 1 species